GUGCCAGCAGCCGCGGUAAUACGUAGGGUGCGAGCGUUAUUCGGAAUUACUGGGCGUAAAGCGUGCGCAGGCGGUUGUGUAAGACAGACGUGAAAUCCCCGGGCUCAACCUGGGAACUGCGUUUGUGACUGCACGGCUAGAGUACGGCAGAGGGGGGUGGAAUUCCACGUGUAGCAGUGAAAUGCGUAGAGAUGUGGAGGAACACCGAUGGCGAAGGCAGCCCCCUGGGCCAGUACUGACGCUCAUGCACGAAAGCGUGGGGAGCAAACAGGAUUAGAUACCCUGGUAGUCCACGCCCUAAACGAUGUCAACUAGCUGUUGGUGGGGUUAAACCCAUUAGUAGCGUAGCUAACGCGUGAAGUUGACCGCCUGGGGAGUACGGCCGCAAGGUUAAA
rnacentral:rRNA from 1 species